rnacentral:lncRNA from 1 species
CAGGUCGUAACCAUCAGCGUUGUGCUCCUUCAGUAUCCAAGUUAAUGAAAGCAAAUCCAUUUUUAGAUCCAUGGCUCCAAAGUCUUAUGCUAAUUCGGUUUCUGCAUCACGGAGACUACUAAUAAUAGAGGCAAGUGCAUAAGAACGAAAGUUUGUUCGCUGUGAAAAUUUGAACAACAGUACUUACAAUUUGAAGACGUGUACGUCUUUGCCUCUCCCUAACACCCCUCUGACCUGAAAGCUUCAGCCAUCAGCGCAGAACAAUACUCUUCUACUAGGUUCAUAUAGCAAUCUAGUUCCAACUUCCAAAUGUAACAAAAAUACACAAUCAAACCUCUCCUAAUGACUUGCGCUCAUCGUCCUCUUCAUUCGCAUCCUUAAAUAGAAUUACAAAUUAAUAAAUCUAAAGAUAUUAUGCAUAUUGAUGCAGCUGUAAGUUUAGAGCAGGAAUGCACCGCAGGAAUCACACCCUCCAACAAGCUUGUUAACACAAGUGCAGCACUUGGCACAUAUGCCUAGGUCCUUGGAGCAAUCUGCAAUAACCAGCAACAGUAUGAAUCAGUAACGAUCCAACUUAUUAAUGUUUAACAACCAGGGCUAGUGACACAAGCGAUUGAGCGGCCAAAAUUCACAUAUGCAUACGUUUUGGUUUGAUUGCCGCUUGCCGGACGUUUCGCUUACAAGGCGCAGGCCCCCACGCCCCACGGCGCGCUCUCGUGCGUCGCCUACGCUCCGCCCGC